rnacentral:lncRNA from 1 species
ACCUUUUUCCAAUCUUUUCAUUUUUUUACUUUUUCAACCUAGCUUCUGGAUAGCAGGUAUAUUCCAUGCUCUGACAGCAGGUGGCGCUGUGGGCAAUUUUUAUCAGGGUUGCCUAGAAACCCGGAGUCUGGUGAAGGCAUCACGUGAGCAUGAUACUGUCAUAAAUCCGAUUUAGGAGCCGAGAAUUCCCGCUUAGCAGCUUUUGCCGUGUGAAAAAGAUUCGAGAUGAACAACACACCCUUCCAAGAAGAAAAGAGACAAAAGGUGAGUUUCCAUGCCUUGGGAAAAGAGGAACUUCAAGGGACCUGACCAAGCAAACCGUCAACAGUGUAGGGCCAACCCAGAGCCCAGGAUCCUGUGAACCUACCAUAGCUGACCUCAGAAACCAGGGGAAUUCUGAGAGCCACCAUGCUGCC